rnacentral:rRNA from 1 species
GGGGAAUAUUGCGCAAUGGGGGCAACCCUGACGCAGCCAUGCCGCGUGAAUGAAGAAGGCCUUCGGGUUGUAAAGUUCUUUCGGUAUUGAGGAAGGUUGACGUGUUAAUAGUACAUCAAAUUGACGUUAAAUACAGAAGAAGCACCGGCUAACUCCGUGCCAGCAGCCGCGGUAAUACGGAGGGUGCGAGCGUUAAUCGGAAUAACUGGGCGUAAAGGGCACGCAGGCGGUUAUUUAAGUGAGGUGUGAAAGCCCCGGGCUUAACCUGGGAAUUGCAUUUCAGACUGGGUAACUAGAGUACUUUAGGGAGGGGUAGAAUUCCACGUGUAGCGGUGAAAUGCGUAGAGAUGUGGAGGAAUACCGAAGGCGAAGGCAGCCCCUUGGGAAUGUACUGACGCUCAUGUGCGAAAGCGUGGGGAGCAAACAGGAUUAGAUACCCUGGUAGUCCACGCUGUAAACGCUGUCGAUUUGGGGGUUGGGGUUUAACUCUGGCGCCCGUAGCUAACGUGAUAAAUCGACCGCCUGGGGAGUACGGCCGCAAGGUUA